AAUAAGUGCAGCCAUGAGUUUCCGCGUCCAACUUUAAUCGUCCAUCUUAUUUGAAAUUUUUUUAUAAUUAAUUUUUUUAUUGUUAUAAGAUGAUAAAACAUAAAUAAUACUUUACUCAUGACUUAUGUUUUUUUUCAACUUUUUUUAAUAAGACGAAUGAUUAAAGUUGGGCGCGGAAAACCAUGGCUGCACUUAUU
rfam:Oryza sativa (indica cultivar-group) chromosome 1, whole genome shotgun sequence.